AGUGAACGCUGGCGGUAGGCCUAACACAUGCAAGUCGAACGGCAGCACAGUAAGAGCUUGCUCUUACGGGUGGCGAGUGGCGGACGGGUGAGGAAUACAUCGGAAUCUACUUUUUCGUGGGGGAUAACGUAGGGAAACUUACGCUAAUACCGCAUACGACCUACGGGUGAAAGCAGGGGAUCUUCGGACCUUGCGCGAUUGAAUGAGCCGAUGUCGGGUUAGCUAGUUGGCGGGGUAAAGGCCCACCAAGGCGACGAUCCGUAGCUGGUCUGAGAGGAUGAGCAGCCACACUGGAACUGAGACACGGUCCAGACUCCGACGGGAGGCAGCAGUGGGGAAUAUUGGACAAUGGGCGCAAGCCUGAUCAAGCCAUACCGCGUGAGUGAAGAAGGACUUCGGGUUGUAAAGCCCUUUUGUUGGGAAAGAAAAGCAGCAGGUUAAUACCCCGCUGUUCUGACGGUACCCAAAGAAUAAGCACCGGCUAACUUCGUG
rnacentral:rRNA from 1 species